rnacentral:rRNA from 1 species
AGUGAACGCUGGCGGUAGGCCUAACACAUGCAAGUCGAACGGCAGCACAGUAAGAGCUUGCUCUUACGGGUGGCGAGUGGCGGACGGGUGAGGAAUACAUCGGAAUCUACUUUUUCGUGGGGGAUAACGUAGGGAAACUUACGCUAAUACCGCAUACGACCUACGGGUGAAAGCAGGGGAUCUUCGGACCUUGCGCGAUUGAAUGAGCCGAUGUCGGAUUAGCUAGUUGGCGGGGUAAAGGCCCACCAAGGCGACGAUCCGUAGCUGGUCUGAGAGGAUGAUCAGCCACACUGGAACUGAGACACGGUCCAGACUCCUACGGGAGGCAGCAGGGGGGAAUAUUGGACAAUGGGCGCAAGCCUGAUCCAGCCAUACCGCGUGGGUGAAGAAGGCCUGCGGGUUGUAAAGCCCUUUUGUUGGGAAAGAAAAGCAGCAGGUUAAUACCCCGCUGUUCUGACGGUACCCAAAGAAUAAGCACCGGCGAACUUCGG